rnacentral:rRNA from 1 species
UGGGGAAUUUUGGACAAUGGGCGCAAGCCUGAUCCAGCAAUGCCGCGUGCAGGAUGAAGGCCUUCGGGUUGUAAACUGCUUUUGUACGGAGCGAAAAGGUCUGCCCUAAUACGGUGGGCUAAUGACGGUACCGUAAGAAUAAGCACCGGCUAACUACGUGCCAGCAGCCGCGGUAAUACGUAGGGUGCAAGCGUUAAUCGGAAUUACUGGGCGUAAAGCGUGCGCAGGCGGUGAUGUAAGACAGGUGUGAAAUCCCCGGGCUUAACCUGGGAAUUGCAUUUGUGACUGCAUCGCUGGAGUGCGGCAGAGGGGGAUGGAAUUCCGCGUGUAGCAGUGAAAUGCGUAGAUAUGCGGAGGAACACCAAUGGCGAAGGCAAUCCCCUGGGCCUGUACUGACGCUCAUGCACGAAAGCGUGGGGAGCAAACA